rnacentral:rRNA from 1 species
UACGUAGGGGGCAAGCGUUGUCCGGAUUUAUUGGGCGUAAAGAGCGUGUAGGUGGCCAGGUAGGUCUGCUGUGAAAACUCGAGGCUUAACCUCGAGCUGUCGGCGGAAACCAUCUGGCUAGAGUCCGGAAGAGGAGAAUGGAAUUCCCGGUGUAGCGGUGAAAUGCGCAGAUAUCAGGAGGAACACCGGUGGCGAAGACGGCAUCCUGGACCAACACUGACACUGAGGAGCGAAAGCCAGGGGAGCAAACGGG